AACGAACGCUGGCGGCAUGCCUAAUACAUGCAAGUCGAACGAUCCCUUCGGGGAUAGUGGCGCACGGGUGCGUAACGCGUGGGAAUCUGCCCUUGGGUUCGGAAUAACUUCUGGAAACGGAAGCUAAUACCGGAUGAUGACGUAAGUCCAAAGAUUUAUCGCCCAAGGAUGAGCCCGCGUAGGAUUAGCUAGUUGGUGAGGUAAAGGCUCACCAAGGCGACGAUCCUUAGCUGGUCUGAGAGGAUGAUCAGCCACACUGGGACUGAGACACGGCCCAGACUCCUACGGGAGGCAGCAGUAGGGAAUAUUGGACAAUGGGGGAAACCCUGAUCCAGCAAUGCCGCGUGAGUGAUGAAGGCCUUAGGGUUGUAAAGCUCUUUUACCCGGGAUGAUAAUGACAGUACCGGGAGAAUAAGCUCCGGCUAACUCCGUGCCAGCAGCCGCGGUAAUACGGAGGGAGCUAGCGUUGUUCGGAAUUACUGGGCGUAAAGCGCACGUAGGCGGCUAUUCAAGUCAGAGGUGAAAGCCCGGGGCUCAACCCCGGAACUGCCUUUGGAACUAGAUAGCUUGAAUCCAGGAGAGGUGAGUGGAAUUCCGAGUGUAGAGGUGAAAUUCGUAGAUAUUCGGAAGAACACCAGUGGCGAAGGCGGCUCACUGGACUGGUAUUGACGCUGAGGUACGAAAGCGUGGGGAGCAAACAGG
rnacentral:rRNA from 1 species